GGAAUGAGUUAUUAGCAAACAAAGUUAGAGGGCAAAAUGAUGAUUUUAGGAGAGGAUUCUAGAAGCCAAAGGCUUCUCUUCUUUUUCUUUCCCCGGCAGGCAGAUGCAGCGAGGGGGGGGCGCUAUUGUGGUAUCUCCCCCUUAAUUCUUCUUCACUCCAAAAAUGAUAACUUUCUCAUACGGCAAUGAAAUCACACACGGUCGAAAGCUAUGUAUUCAUAACGAAGCCCUCUUCAAUUUGAUACCAAAAUCAUAUGCUGGAACCAAGUGUGUUCAUAUAUUGAAGCCUAGAAGUUUCGACGGUUUUCAUGGGUUUUUCGCCGAUUAUGGCCAAACUCGCAGGAGAUGUGUCUCGACCCAAGAGAGAAAAAUACUCCUCUCAUCAUGCACUUCCAGGAUAUGUAAGUGGAUCUUUCGAAUUCCAAAUUUCAUUUUCGAACAAGUUUGAGAUUGAAGUGUUUAACUCGAAAUUUUGGGAUUCUUGUUGAGGAUUCGUGAUGAUGAAGUUGAUUUAAGAGUGUAAUAGCGAAUUGGCAGAUUGAUGAACAACUUUGGAGGAGUUUGGAGGGGGUUACAGUGAUGAUGACGACGAUGGUGGGUGAUGGCUCAUUGACGGCAGUGUAAACAGUGAUGAUAAUAUAUGGUGAUGGUAGAGGUGGCAAUGAUGAUGAUGGGUGGUGAUAGGUGAAACAUGGAUGAUGGCGAAUGGAAGUGGUGGCAACGAUGAUGAUGGUAGGUAGUAGUGGUGGUACUAAUGAUAGUGAUGAAGAUGAUGUUUGUUGUAGGCGGUACAAUGGCAGUGGUGAUCAUAGGUGGUAGUGGUGGCACCGAUGAUGUUGAUGGUUGGCAGUGGUGGCAUUGAAGGUGGCGACGAGCUACGGUGGGUGGUGGCGAUGACAUCAAUGAUGAUUGUGACUGGUGGUGCGGCGGCAAGGGUGGUGAGAAAAUUAUUAUUAUUGUUGUUUAAUUUUUCAUUCAUAAAAAUUUAGAAAUGACAACUAUUUAUAUAGAAUUUGCCGGUGGGAAUUGAAGGUUUCAAAUACCAAAUUUAUUUUUUCAUGCUAAAAUUUUAAAUUUCUUAUGAAUCCAACAAGGAAGUUGUGCAUGAUAAUUUAUAAAUUCUGGGAUUUGUUCAAAUUUAAGUAUAUUUUCCUCAUCUAAA